rnacentral:snRNA from 1 species
AGAUGUGAAGGUGAUCUGGCUGUGACAUCUGUCACCCCAUUGAUCACCAGGGUAGAUUCAACUGAUCUGGUUGGCUAGGUGGUUGUCCCCUUCCUCCCUCACUGUUCCAUGUGUGUCCCUCCUGAAGCUGCACACUCAGUCAAAGAGGAUGACCAUCCCCAUUAUAGGAGGACCAUUCUUCAGUCAAGGGUAUACAAGUAGCUGCACUCCCUGCUAGAACCUCCAAACUCAAGAAGGGAUAAGACUGCUUACCCACCCCAUAUGCUCAAGCAUACAACAGUGAGUAAAAAGGAAGAAACAGAUUUUGAGAUUAAAAUUUUGGAA